UCACAACCAGUCCUUGUCACUGUCCACUAUCCCCCUUCUGAUUCGGAGGGUGUGUCGGUGCUGGAGCUGGAGCGUGACACCACAUUGAACUGCACAGCCGAUGCCAACCCCCCUCCCAGUUAUACCUGGAAGACCUCAGGAACACAUGAGAAAAUGGGGAAGACGCCAGUCCUCCCCAUUGAUGUAGCUGGGAACUACACAUGCACAGCCUCCAACCGUCUUGGCAGUGGGACCAAACAUUUCAUAGUAGUGUCCAGAUCUUCAGGUACAUUCUGGGCCAUCAUCGGAACCGGUAUUUUUGUGAUUUUUGUUCUAUGCGGCGGCUACGGAAUCUUGAAGUGGAGAGCCGGUGCCAAUUCCAUUAUCUGAUCAAGAAACAUCAACCAGUACCUCAGCUGUCAAGGGA